rnacentral:misc_RNA from 1 species
CGCACCUUGCGCCUCUUGGUAUUCCGAGAGGCAUGCCUGUUUGAGUGUCAUGAAACAUCAAUCCCCCAGGGUUUUCUUGAACCAUGGGUGGACUUGGACUUGGGCGUCUGCCUCACCAGGCUCGCCUCAAAUGAAUCUGUGGGAACUUCUCGACCUACGCCUGACGUGAUAAGUUUCGUCUUGGCCGGUCCUGAGGCCCGCUCACAACACCACAUAUCACUUUUUCCAUUGACCUCAAAUCAGGUAGGGCUACCCGCUGAACUUAA